rnacentral:rRNA from 1 species
UACGGAGGGGGCUAGCGUUGUUCGGAAUUACUGGGCGUAAAGCGCGCGCAGGCGGCUCUUCAAGUCAGGGGUGAAAGCCCAGAGCUCAACUCUGGAACUGCCUUUGAGACUGAAGAGCUUGAGUACGGGAGAGGUGAGUGGAAUUCCCAGUGUAGAGGUGAAAUUCGUAGAUAUUGGGAAGAACACCGGUGGCGAAGGCGGCUCACUGGCCCGUUACUGACGCUCAGGCGCGACAGCGUGGAGAUCAAACAGG